AUUUCAACCCCUUCAUUCUGCAGACGGGGCUCACUGCCCCCUGAGGGGCAGUGAGUCAGUGGGUUCCAGAGGCGGCUCUGAUCCUUCCUAGGGUGCCUACUGUCCUGUGUGACCUUGGAGAUCCCCCAGCCAGACACCCAGAAACCUCCAGCUACUGCUCAUUGUAUGGGAAUGACUUUCUGUAACUGAAAUGCUCCUGGCCAGAGGGUCAUGCUGCCUGCUCCGUCCUGCUGGACUGUUGUGAGGAUGAAAGGAGAUAAUGUAUGCUAACACACACCACCAAUGCUCUGCUGCAUGCUGGGGACCAAGAGGCACCGUGUUAACAACCCCUGCUGCUCAGAGCGGACUCACAUACCACCUGAGGCCCGGGUGCUGAUUGGGGCCUUAGUGUGAAUGGGAAGCUGGGCUAUUGGUAAAGACCUUGGCAGUGACCUCCGUGAGCAAUGAGCCAUGGGCCAACAAUAUCCAACACACCACAUCUAAUGUGCCCACGUCCAUUGUAUAGUGCUAGGAUGCCAUCUCUGACAGAGCAAAGGGCCCCUGCUUGUGUUCUGCCAUCAAUUGAAUGUGCCACAGCUGCAUUAAUCAUCUCUGAAUGCUAAAGGUCUUGGCUCUUACCUCUGUGGGUGAGAAGAGACUCAUCGUGCCGAGCAGAGGGGAUGGAACCCAGACCUUUAUCACGUUAUGUGUGUGCUCUGUUACUGAGCUACACCCCCAGGCCCACUCCUGAAAUUUCUAAUGCACUUUGUGCAUUCAAAGCUAUUAUGAUUGUGACAAUCAGGCUUUUCCAGACCCUGGCAAAUGUCAUCUGGUGGCAACAUUGCUCCUAGUUGAGAAACACUGGGCAUGGCCACAGCUCACUCAUUCAGCUUUUCUAAGAAAGAAAAUCUUGGCAGGUGGUUCUGUGGGUAAAGGACAUAGAGAAUAAUUGCAAAUCACAGCAUAUGUUACCAUACUCCAGUCAUGACAGCAUCUCUGUCGUUUUUGAACCUUAAAGCAUAAAGCCUGAUAUGCUCACCAUGAGGAAGAACUGACAUGAAGCUCAGAGGCCUCACAUUCCAAACAGAAGCCUCGGUUACGCAGGCCCAUGUGUGCUCUGUAAGAAGAGGCGCUAUUGCGUCAUCAUUAUGUGGGAAUCCCGAGCUGACUGCAUCAGCUCAGUUCAAUCACGUGCCAGUAAAGAACAGGUAGCCACACCUGCAUCUAUGAUGCGUGUCGGGGGAGAGUGUUAUCCUGAAUGAGGAUCCCAGAUACUAAUGAAGGUAACUGCUAUCCUCCGGAAAAGUGCUUGCAUUUGACUUAUGGAUAAGGAGAACAAAUAGUGAUAGUAAGCACCUGAUAUGGGCCUUGAUCAUUCUCUGAAGAUGAACAUCUGGUCAUGACUGAGGAGAAUGAAGACAAUGGCUGCUGUAAUGGUUGUCUGCAGGCCAAGAGCUUGUUUGUUGCCAUUGUGGAAUGGACGUGUAACCACACGGGCACACUAGAAUGGAUCCAGUGUGGCCAGUUUAACCAUUCUCCGCUCUUGAAUGUUUCAUCAUUGCCUGUAAGGACAUUGGUGCUUAGGCUGAGAUGAAUGCUCCCAAGAUGACUUGCCCAAUGGUCCCCAGUCGUGAGUUCCACAGCUGCCCUGUGAAUGUUACCAGCUUGGGUACUGAUAAUGGAUGCUCCUGAGCUGAUCUCAGAAUUCUUGUCAUGUCACAAGGUCCUGUUUGUCCUUGUACCUUAGGAACAUAGAACCAUUAAUGGAAUGUCUCAUUCUUCCCUGGUUCCAAGGUCCACAAAUCAAUCGACUUCUCCCGAGCUGAUCAUAACCAUCUUCGCCGGUCAUGAGGUCCAUACUUGCCCCUGGGUAUUAGGUGUAUAGACUGCAAUGAUAGAUGCAUCCUGGCUGGUUUCCACGUUCUUCCCGGUCACCCAGCCCUUGGCCGCCCCAUGUGCCAGGAACUCAGUACAGUCAUGUUCAAGUCCACUGACAGGUGUUCCCUGCCUUGCCUUGAGCUCUAAGGUUGCCUGUGCUAUUGGAACCACACAUACAAAUAGUUGCACACAGCUGGUGUUUAACCACUCACGCGGUCACGGGCUCCAUGGUCGCCUCCAUGCCUGGUGUGGAGUCCAACCCUGGAUGCGCUGUGUGACUGGAGGCUCCUCCUUGGCUCAGAUCUCUACCUGCACCCCGCUGGGGAGGAACAUAAGACCAGUUCCUCAGGCAGUUUCCACCCAACUGAGGACGGGUCUCUCCUGACAGACACCCUGCCCGAAGCCCCUUGUGUUGACACAGAGCACUG